ACCGGCGGCUCGAGUGGUGGCCACUCUUACUGGGCUUAAAGCGUUCGUAGCCGGCUUGUUAAGUCUCUGGGGAAAUCUUCCAGCUUAACCGUAAGGCGUCCCAGGGAUACUGGCAGGCUUGGGACCGGAAGAGGUGAGAGGUACUCCAGGGGUAGGAGUGAAAUCCUGUAAUCCUGGGGGGACCACCUGUGGCGAAGGCGUCUCACCGGGACGGCUCCGACAGUGAGGAACGAAAGCUGGGGGCGCAAACCG
rnacentral:rRNA from 1 species